rnacentral:tRNA from 1 species
UGCGAGCUGGUGCAACCAGGCAGCACAUCCGAUUCUGGAUCGGGGAAUUGAGGUUCGAAUCCUCAGCUCGCAGCGA